GAUGAACGCUGGCUGCGUGUCUAAUACAUGCAAGUCGAGCGAACGGACUAGAUUCUUGUUUCUCUAGUGUUAGCGUCUGACGGUUUAGUAACACGUGGAUUACCUACCUUUAAGACUGGGAUUACUUCCGGAAACCCCUGCUAAUACCGGGGGAUUUUUUGUACCGGAUGGUUCAAAAGUCUAAGUCUUUCUUUCUGUCACUUAUCUAUGGAUCCGCUCUGUAUUAUCUAGUUGGUAAUGUAACGGCUUACCAAGGCAACGAUGCAUAGCCGACCUGAUAGCGGGAACGGCCACACUGGCACUGAGACACGGUCCAGACUCCUACGGGAGGCAGCCGUAGAGAAUCUUCCGCAAUGGGCGUAAGCCUAACGGAGCAACGCCGCGUGAGUGAUGAAGGUCUUCGAAUCGUAAAACUCUCUUAUUAGGGAAGAACAUAUGUGUAAGUAACUGUGCACAUCUUGACGGUACCUAAUCAGAAAGGCACGGCUAACUACGUG
rnacentral:rRNA from 1 species